rnacentral:rRNA from 1 species
GACGAACGCUGGCGGCGUGCUUAACACAUGCAAGUCGAACAGAAAGGCCCUGCUUUUGUGGUGUGCUCGAGUGGCGAACGGGUGAGUGACACGAGAGUAACCUGCCCUUGACUUUGGUAUAACUUCAGGAAACUGGGGCUAAUACCGUAUAGGAGCUCCUGCUGCAUUGUGGGGGUUGGAAAUUUUCGGCGGUUGGGGAUGGACUCGCGGCUUAUCAGCUUGUUGGUGGGGUAGUGGCUUACCAAGGCUUUGACGGGUAGCCGGCCUGAGAGGGUGACCGGCCACAAUGGGACUGAGGUACGGACCAGACUCGUACGGUAGGCAGCAGUGGGGAAUAUUGCACAAUGGGCGGAAGUCUGAUGCAGCAACGCCGCGUGCGGGAUGACGGCCUUCGGGUUGUAAACCGCUUUCGCCUGUGACGAAGCGUGAGUGACGGUAAUGGGUAAAGAAGCACCGGCUAACUACGUG